rnacentral:rRNA from 1 species
GCGGCAUGCUUUACACAUGCAAGUCGAACGGUAACAGGCCUUCGGGCGCUGACGAGUGGCGAACGGGUGAGUAAUGCAUCGGAACGUGCCCAGUCGUGGGGGAUAACUAUCCGAAAGGAUAGCUAAUACCGCAUACGAUCUGCGGAUGAAAGCGGGGGACCUUCGGGCCUCGCGCGAUUGGAGCGGCCGAUGUCAGAUUAGGUAGUUGGUGGGGUAAAGGCUCACCAAGCCAACGAUCUGUAGCUGGUCUGAGAGGACGACCAGCCACACUGGGACUGAGACACGGCCCAGACUCCUACGGGAGGCAGCAGUGGGGAAUUUUGGACAAUGGGCGCAAGCCUGAUCCAGCAAUGCCGCGUGCAGGAAGAAGGCCUUCGGGUUGUAAACUGCUUUUGUACGGAACGAAACGGCUCUGGUUAAUACCCGGGGCUAAUGACGGUACCGUAAGAAUAAGCACCGGCUAACUACGUGCCAGCAGCCGCGGUAAUACGUAGGGUGCAAGC